rnacentral:rRNA from 1 species
GACGAACGCUGGCGGCGUGCCUAAUACGUGCAAGUAGAACGCUGAAGGAGGAGCUUGCUUCUCUGGAUGAGUUGCGAACGGGUGAGUAACGCGUAGGUAACCUGCCUGGUAGCGGGGGAUAACUAUUGGAAACGAUAGCUAAUACCGCAUAAUAGUAGAUGUUGCAUGACAUUUGCUUAAAAGGUGCAAUUGCAUCACUACCAGAUGGACCUGCGUUGUAUUAGCUAGUUGGUGGGGUAACGGCUCACCAAGGCGACGAUACAUAGCCGACCUGAGAGGGUGAUCGGCCAAACUGGGACUGAGACACGGCCCAGACUCCUACGGGAGGCAGCAGGAGGGAAUCUUCGGCAAUGGACGGAAGUCUGAACGAGCAACGCCGCGUGAGUGAAGAAGGUUUUCGGAUCGUAAAGCUCUGUUGUAAGAGAAGAAAGAGUGUGAGAGUGGAAAGUUCACACUGUGACGGUAUCUUACCAGAAAGGGACGGCUAACUACGUG